rnacentral:rRNA from 1 species
AAGCCUGAUGCAGCAACGCCGUGUGAGUGAAGAAGGUUUCGGAUCGUAAAACUCUGUCCUAAGAGAAGAAACAAAUGACGGUACCUUAGGAGGAAGCCCCGGCUAACUACGUGCCAGCAGCCGCGGUAAUACGUAGGGGGCAAGCGUUAUCCGGAAUCACUGGGCGUAAAGGGUGCGUAGGCGGCUUAGCAAGCCAGGGGUGAAAGGCAUUGGCUCAACCAAUGUAAGCCUUUGGAACUGUUAAGCUUGAGUGCAGGAGAGGUAAGUGGAAUUCCUAGUGUAGAGGUGAAAUUCGUAGAUAUUAGGAGGAACACCAGUGGCGAAGGCGACUUACUGGACUGUAACUGACGCUGAUGCACGAAAGCGUGGGUAGCGAACAGGAUUAGAUACCCUUGUAG